rnacentral:rRNA from 1 species
UACGUAGGGGGCUAGCGUUGUCCGGAUUUAUUGGGCGUAAAGGGCGCGUAGGCGGGGAGAUAAGUCAGAUGUGAAAUCCCGGGGCUCAACCCCCGGAACAGCAUUUGAAACUGUUUUUCUAAGAGGGUAGGCGGAGAAAAUGGAAUUCCACAAGUAGCGGUGAAAUGCGUAGAGAUGUGGAAGAACACCAGUGGCGAAGGCGGUUUUCUAGCUUAUACCUGACGCUAAAGCGCGAAAGCAAGGGGAGCAAACAGG